rnacentral:snRNA from 1 species
GUCCUCUCUUUGGAGGCACGUAUACUAAAAUUGGAACGAUACAGAGAAGAUUAGCAUGGCCCCUGCCCAAGGAUGACACACAAAUUUGUGAAGUGUUCCAUAUUUUU